rnacentral:tRNA from 1 species
GCUUGGAUGAGUCGGGACGGUUCCCGGGGCGGGCUUCAAACCCGUGGGUCACAAGCGUGGCAGCGGUUCGACUCCGCCCUCCGAGC